GUAUUAUCAACAUCCACCUCAGGGAGGAUAUUAGAUGUAUAUAAGGUGGAUAUUAGAUGUAUAUAAUGUAUAUAUAAAGUUCUUGUUUAUUUUUUUGUACAUAGUAACUAUAGGGUAAAUUUGGAUUAAUAUCUUUAGGUUUUUAUUUCUGUAGAGUAUAAUAAGAAUAGGUUCUUAUUUCUUUAGAGUAUAGUAAGAAUUUUAUAAUUCUAUAACUGUAAAUAUUUGUAAUUGUAUAUUAUUUGAGACUUGCAUGUUGUAAGAUUUGCUUUGCUUUCUUUCUUUCUCUCUUCACUUCUCCCUUCUAAUAUAGGACAGUUUUGUUGGAAAGAUCCAUUAGGGAGACUGGUCUCCCCAUUGGAUCUCAGGGGGAAUAUGUUAAUAGAAUUUUCUUAAUCUCUCUCUUUUUCUCUUUAAGAGGCAAGGGAGCAAAAUGAUUUCUGAGGAAGAGCCCCCCUGCUCUGCAGGCAGUCAGUUGAUGACAGGAGGGUGUAGCUGACAGUUGGUAGGUGAGUUGCAGGCAGUUGAAAGGGGUUUUUGUCUCUGGGUUCCCUAGAGAGCAGAGAUGUCUGUGUCUCUGAGACAAACUGGCAGUUGGAAAAAUAACUGACAGUGGGUAAAGAGAAAUGGAUAUAAGGAGGUGGAUUAAUUAAUGCUUAUUGAUUAACUUAGGUAGUUAGAUAGUGGGUGGUACAUUCUUAGAUAGACAGAGUAGGUAGAUAGGCUGGGCUUGACCUAGCAGAAGACACUGCCCUCAAAGGCAGAUAGAUUUAGGGCGUUUUUUAGAAAUUUUAGUUAGGAUUGGGAUUUUAGGUAUAGGUAUAAGAGUUCUCUCACUUUCUUCCUUUCUCUUCCUUUCUUUCUUUUUUAAAAACCCUUACCUUCCAUCUUGGAAUCAAUACUGGUUGGUUCCAAUACUUGGUUCCAAAGUAGAAGAGUGGUAAGGACUAGGCAAUGGGGAUUAAGUGACUUGCCUAGGGUUACCCAGCUGGGAAGUGUCUAAGGCCAGAUUUGAACCUAGGACCUCCCAUCUCUAGACCUGGCUCUCAAGUCUAUUUUUCUUCGCAGUAUUGUUGUUGUUAUAUAUAAAUUGUUCCAUUGGUUCUGCUCACUUAACUUUGCCUCCAUUCAUACAACUCUGUUCAGAUGUUUCUGAAUCCAUUUCCUUCAUCAUCCUAUUACAGCACAGCAGUAUUCCAUUCCAGGCAUAAACAAUAACUUGUUCAACCAUUCCCCAAUUUGGGUGCAUCCCUUGUUUAUAAUUCUUUGCUACCACAAGUGUUGCUAUAAAUAUUUUUGUAUAUAUAUGCCUUUUUUUCUCUUUGAUUUUUAGAGGUAUAGACCCAAUAAUAAUAUCACUGGGUCAAAGUGUAUUCAUAGUUUUAAUAGCUUUGGGGGCAUAAUUCCAACUUGCUUUCCAGAAUGGUGGGAUUAAUUCACAGCUCCACCAACAGUGCAUUAAAAGCACAAUCCUUCUAGCAUUUGUCGUUUUCCUUUUUUGGAGGGGUCAAUUUAGUGAAUCUUAUGGAAGUGAGGUGGGACCUCAGUCCUUUUUUUUAAUAUGUUAUUUUCCCAAUUUCAUGUAAAAACAAUUUUCCACAUGUUUUCUGAUGUUAUAAGAUCCAAAUUGUCUCCCUAAGAGAAUAUUCAUAUAAAACCAGAAUCCCAAAAUAAAAUCCCAAAUAAACUAAAGUGAAAAAUAGUA
ensembl:lncRNA